AUACGGAGGAUCCAAGCGUUAUCCGGAUUUAUUGGGUGUAAAGGGCGUGUAGGCGGUCUUGCAAGUCAGAAGUGAAAUUCCCGGGCUUAACUUGGGCGCUGCUUCUGAAACUGCUUUACUUGAGUGCUGGAGAGGAUAGUGGAAUUCCUAGUGUAGCGGUAAAAUGCGCAGAUAUUAGGAGGAACACCGGUGGCGAAGGCGGCUAUCUGGACAGUAACUGACGCUGAGGCGCGAAAGCACGGGGAGCAAACAGGAUUAGAUACCCUGGUAGUCCGUGCCGUAAACGAUGAAUACUAGGUGUAGGGGGUAUCGACUCCCUCUGUGCCGCAGUUAACACAUUAAGUAUUCCACCUGGGGAGUACGGCCGCAAGGUUGAAACUCAAAUGAAUUGGCGGGG
rnacentral:rRNA from 1 species